GGCUCCAUAGUGUAGUAGUUAGCACGUCUGCUUUAUAUGCAGUAUGUCCUCGGUUCACGCCCCAGGUGGAGCCA
rnacentral:tRNA from 1 species